UUGUAAGAGUUUUAAGAUUCCAUCAUCUUGGAUAAUAUCUUAUAAAUGUCUAUAUAAUGUUUUAUAGGGCGGAGUCACCAUUUAUGGCCACCUUAUGAAUUUUCUUACACACUCAUCUCAGUUAUUUUGUCCACAAUUCUCGAAAUCAAUUGAAAAUGCAACAGUGUAUACUCUACAUGUGACUCAAUAUUUCAUAUCUAUGAGAAAUACUGUAUGACAUAAUAAUUUUUUUUUUUUUAAAUUCCAUUUUCACCUUCUAUGGUCAUUUUAUGCUAUAUGUUAGUAAUAAAUGAUACUACCCAGUAAAUAAAUUAAUGUAGAUGAAUACAACAAUAACCAUAUGAAAUUUUAAAUUACAAAAUUAUAAUAUUAACAAAUAAAAUACAAAUAAGUGGUCAUUGGUGAUGACUCAACCUACUAUGAAAAGUUGUAUGUAUUGAAAAAUCACUUAAAUAUUAUUUGUUUAACUAUACAAAUGUAUAGCAGUUUUGAUAAGACAUAUUAAAUUUCAUAAAAUUUUAAGUUCCCUAGUUUUGUCAUUGGGACUAAAGUACCAAAAAAAAAAAAAAAAAAAUAUACUGAAUUAUAGAUUAAUAAAUAUGAAUAUGAACUUUCAGUGAAGAAAUCCAAAUUUUACACAAACAUAAAUAAAUUAAAUUAUAGUUAUUACCUG